rnacentral:rRNA from 1 species
GUGGGGAAUCUUAGACAAUGGGGGAAACCCUGAUCUAGCCAUGCCGCGUGAGCGAUGAAGGCCUUAGGGUUGUAAAGCUCUUUCAGCUGGGAAGAUAAUGACUGUACCAGCAGAAGAAGCCCCGGCUAACUCCGUGCCAGCAGCCGCGGUAAUACGGAGGGGGCUAGCGUUGUUCGGAAUUACUGGGCGUAAAGCGCACGUAGGCGGACCGGAAAGUCAGAGGUGAAAUCCCAGGGCUCAACCUUGGAACUGCCUUUGAAACUCCUGGUCUUGAGGUCGAGAGAGGUGAGUGGAAUUCCGAGUGUAGAGGUGAAAUUCGUAGAUAUUCGGAAGAACACCAGUGGCGAAGGCGACUCACUGGCCCAAUACUGACGCUGAGGCGCGAAAGCGUGGGGAGCAAACAGGAUUAGAUACCCCGGUAGUCC